rnacentral:rRNA from 1 species
UACGGGGGAUGCAAGCGUUAUCCGGAUUUACUGGGUGUAAAGGGGGCGCAGACGGCGAUGCAAGCCAGGAGUGAAAGCCCGGGGCCCUACCCCGGGACUGCUCUUGGAACUGCGUGGCUGGAGUGCAGGAGGGGCAGGCGGAAUUCCUGGUGUAGCGGUGAAAUGCGUAGAUAUCAGGAGGAACACCGGUGGCGAAGGCGGCCUGCUGGACUGCAACUGACGUUGAGGCCCGAAAGCGUGGGGAGCAAACAGG